GAUGAAGAACGCAGCGAAAUGCGAUACGUAAUGUGAAUUGCAGAAUUCAGUGAAUCAUCGAAUCUUUGAACGCAUAUUGCGCUCUCUGGUAUUCCGGAGAGCAUGCUUGUUUGAGUAUCAGUAAACACCUCAACUUCCAUAUCUUUUUUGAAAUGGGAGUUGGACUUGAGUGAUCCCAACGCUUUUCCUCACCGAAAAGUGGCGGGUUACUUGAAAUGCAGGUGCAGCUGGACUUUUCUCUGAGCUAUACGCAUAUCUAUUUAGUCUGCCUAAAAAACAGAUUAUUACCUUUGCUGCAGCUAACAUAAAGGAGAUUAGUUCUUGUGCUGACUGAUGCAGGAUUCACAAAGACAGGCUUCGGCCGACUUUGUAAACUCGAUCUCAAAUCAAGUAAGACUACCCGCUGAACUUAAGCAUAUCAUAAGCGGAGGA
rnacentral:misc_RNA from 1 species